CCUACGGGAGGCAGCAGUGGGGGAUAUUGCACAAUGGGGGAAACCCUGAUGCAGCGACGCCGCGUGUGGGAAGACGGUCCUCUGGAUUGUAAACCACUGUCCCCAGGGACGAAGAUGACGGUACCCACAGAGGAAGCACCGGCUAACUCCGUGCCAGCAGCCGCGGUAAUACGGGGGGUGCAAGCGUUGUCCGGAAUCAUUGGGCAUAAAGAGUUCGUAGGUGGCACGUUAAGUCUGGUGUUAAAGGCGGAAGCUCAACUUCCGUAGGGCACUGGAUACUGGCGAGCUUGAAUGCGGUAGAGGUAAAGGGAAUUCCUGGUGUAGCGGUGAAAUGCGUAGAUAUCAGGAGGAACAUCGGUGGCGUAAGCGCUUUACUGGGCCGUAAUUGACACUGAGGAACGAAAGCCGGGGUAGCAAAUGGGAUUAGAUACCCCGGUAGUC
rnacentral:rRNA from 1 species